rnacentral:rRNA from 1 species
GACGAACGCUGGCGGCGUGCCUAAUACAUGCAAGUCGAACGAAGCUGUUUUAACUGGUGCUUGCACCGACUUAAACAACUGAGUGGCGAACGGGUGAGUAACACGUGGGUAACCUGCCCCAAAGCGGGGGAUCACAUUUGGAAACAGAUGCUAAUACCGCAUAACCACAGAAACCACAUGGUUUCUGUGUCAAAGAUGGUUUCGGCUAGUAAUCGGGGAUGGACCAGCGGCGUAUUAGCUAGUUGGUAAGGUAAUGGCUUACCAAGGCAAUGAUACGUAGCCGAACUGCGAGGUUGAUCGGCCACAUUGGAACUGAGACACGGCCCAAACUCCUACGGGAGGCAGCAGUAGGGAAUCUUCCACAAUGGACGAAAGUCUGAUGGAGCAACGCCGCGUGAGUGAAGAAGGUUUUCGGAUCGUAAACCUCUGUUGUCAGAGAAGAACGUGUGCGAGAGUAACUGCUCGUGCAGUGACGGUAUCUGGCCAGAAAGCCACGGCUAACUACGUGCCAGCAGCCGCAGUAA